CAGGAACACACACACCAUCACACCACCCUAUCACACGACAAACCUGGGCUUUCAUUUGACUUCAGAAUGCUUCCCGUACACAGUGUCUACCCUCUGGUUUUAGGGAAAACCAUGAACUCCGAUAAGCACUUUAUGGAUUGUCUCAGAUCCGAAAUGAAGCUACAUGAAGUGGACUCGCAGAAUGACUGUGAUGUCCUCAUUGCUUUCGUCCCGAUUGUGUCUCGAGCUGGAACGGACAUUCAAGCUGCUCUUGAAAGAAUUCCCAAACAUUCAUACAAGCGCGUCGUUCUGGUGUCUCUCCACCACACAUUCGAUCAGGAUUACAUCGCUCCGGACAGCAGACACUCUGUUCACAGGAAUGACGUGUUUGCUGUGGACUGUCUCUAUCAUGAAGACAUGGGACUGCUGAAAUCCCGAACCAAUGAUGAGGCACUGAAAAGAGUAAUAAAGCAUCUAGGAGGAGAAACACCAUAUAAGGUCUCUGAAUGGAGCCUGUUGAUUGUGAAUAAAAUGGGUGCGGACAAGACCGAAUUUAUUCCUUGGUUAUGUGCCGUGCUGAGCAGCCUUUGUUUAUACUUUGUUCUGCCAGAAGGGUACAGCUUCUUCCACUUCUUAAUUUUGGAGAUAUUGCUGCUGAUUAUCAUAUCUGUGUCCCUGAGUUACUACAGCAAGUAUCUCAAAAAUAGCAAAUACCACCUUGGGAAGUGGACUCUUUGGAUUUUUACUGGUAUGAACGUUGUCCUCAUACUUGUAUUUCAGAGUUCCACUAAGGAGUCUGUGCAUGAGUUGAAUAAUGCCACUGAACACAGUCAAAACAUGUGAUACGGAUAAUAUUGCUUUGCCUGAUAUUGUGGUAUGUGGUUUAGAAAACUUGUUAAUAUUAAAUAAACACUUCUCUGUUCAAUAAUAAACUAUAGGCAUGGGGACAAAAAUAUGUUCAUUUGUGGUUUUGUUAAAAGUUCAAAUUAAAAGAAGUGAAUUCAG
ensembl:lncRNA